UACGAAGGGGGCUAGCGUUGCUCGGAAUCACUGGGCGUAAAGGGUGCGUAGGCGGUGUAGCAAGUCGGGAGUGAAAUCUCUGGGCUUAACCCAGAGGCUGCUUCCGAAACUGCUGUGCUUGAGUGUGGGAGAGGCGCGUGGAAUUGCAGGUGUAGCGGUGAAAUGCGUAGAUAUCUGCAGGAACACCCGUGGCGAAAGCGGCGCGCUGGACCACUACUGACGCUGAGGAACGAAAGCUAGGGGAGCAAACAGG
rnacentral:rRNA from 1 species